UACGUAGGGUGCAAGCGUUGUCCGGAUUUAUUGGGCGUAAAGAGCUCGUAGGCGGUUUUGCCGCGUCUGCUGUGAAAAACUCGGGGCUUAACCCCGGGCCUGCAGUGGGUACGGGCAGACUAGAGUGCGGUAGGGGGAGACUGGAAUUCCUGGUGUAGCGGUGGAAUGCGCAGAUAUCAGGAAGAACACCGACGGCGAAGGCAGCUCGCUGGGGACGGUACUGACGCUGAGGCGCGAAAAGCGUGGGGGAGCGAACAGG
rnacentral:rRNA from 1 species